rnacentral:rRNA from 1 species
AGCGAACGCUGGCGGCAGGCCUUACACAUGCAAGUCGAACGCCCCGCAAGGGGAGUGGCAGACGGGUGAGUAACGCGUGGGAAUCUACCUAGUUCUACGGAACAACUGAGGGAAACUUCAGCUAAUACCGUAUACGCCCUAAGGGGGAAAGAUUUAUCGGAAUUAGAUGAGCCCGCGUUGGAUUAGCUAGUUGGUGGGGUAAUGGCCUAACAAGGCGACGAUCUAUAGCUGGUCUGAGAGGAUGAUCAGCCACACUGGGACUGGGACACGGCCCAGACUCCUACGGGGGGCAGCAGUGGGGAAUAUUGGACAAUGGGCGCAAGCCUGAUCCAGCCAUGCCGCGUGAGUGAUGAAGGCCUUAGGGUUGAAAAGCUCUUUCAGUGGGGACGAUAAUGACGGUACCCACAGAAGAAGCCCCGGCUAACUUCGUGCCAGCCGCCGCAGUAAGAC